CCAGACUCCUACGGGAGGCAGCAGUGGGGAAUAUUGCACAAUGGGGGAAACCCUGAUGCAGCGACGCCGCGUGAAGGAAGAAGUAUCUCGGUAUGUAAACUUCUAUCAGCAGGGAAGAAAACAGACGGUACCUGACUAAGAAGCCCCGGCUAACUACGUGCCAGCAGCCGCGGUAAUACGUAGGGAGCAAGCGUUGUCCGGAAUUACUGGGCGUAAAGGGCGCGUAGGUGGGCGCUUAAGUCAGGUGUGAAAACUCCGGGCUCAACCUGGAGACUGCACUUGAAACUGGGUGUCUUGAGGGCAGGAGAGGAAAGUGGAAUUCCUAGUGUAGCGGUGAAAUGCGUAGAUAUUAGGAGGAACACCAGUGGCGAAGGCGGCUUGCUGGACUGUAAAUGACGCUGAGGCUCGAAAGCGUGGGGAGCAAACAGGAUUAGAUACCCCAGUAC
rnacentral:rRNA from 1 species